UACGGAGGGUGCAAGCGUUAUCCGGAUUUACUGGGUUUAAAGGGUGUGUAGGCGGGCCAUUAAGUCUGGGGUGAAAUCUCCGAGCUCAACUCGGAAACUGCCUUGGAUACUAUUGGCCUUGAAUUAUGUUGAGGUUGGCGGAAUAUAACAUGUAGCGGUGAAAUGCAUAGAUAUGUUAUAGAACACCGAUUGCGAAGGCAGCUAACUAAGCAUAUAUUGACGCUGAGGCACGAAAGCGUGGGGAUCAAACAGG
rnacentral:rRNA from 1 species